UACGGAGGGUGCAAGCAUUAAUCGGAUUUAUUGGGCGUGAAGAGCGCGUAGGCGGGAAAGAAAGUUAGAUGUGAAAGCUCGAGGCUCAACUUCGAAGACGCAUCUAAAACUCCUUUUCUAGAGGAUGGAUGGAGAAAAUGGAAUUCCACGUGUAGCGGUGAAAUGCGUUGAUAUGUGGAAGAACACCGGUGGCGAAGGCGAUUUUCUAAUUUAUUCCUGACGCUGUGGCGCGAAAGCAAGGGGAGCAAAC
rnacentral:rRNA from 1 species